AGAGUUUGAUCCUGGCUCAGAGUGAACGCUGGCGGUAGGCCUAACACAUGCAAGUCGAACGGCAGCACAGGAGAGCUUGCUCUCUGGGUGGCGAGUGGCGGACGGGUGAGGAAUAUAUCGGAAUCUACUCUUUCGUGGGGGAUAACGUAGGGAAACUUACGCUAAUACCGCAUACGACCUCCGGGUGAAAGCAGGGGACCUUCGGGCCUUGUGCGAUUGAAUGAGCCGAUGUCGGAUUAGCUAGUUGGCGGGGUAAAGGCCCACCAAGGCGACGAACCGUAGCUGGUCUGAGAGGAUGAUCAGCCACACUGGAACUGAGACACGGUCCAGACUCCUACGGGAGGCAGCAGUGGGGAAUAUUGGACAAUGGGCGCAAGCCUGAUCCAGCCAUACCGCGUGGGUGAAGAAGGCCUUCGGGUUGUAAAGCCCUUUUGUUGGGAAAGAAAAGCAGUCGGCUAAUACCCGAUUGUUCUGACGGUACCCAAAGAAUAAGCACCGGCUAACUUCGUGCCAGCAGCCGCGGUAAUACGAAGGGUGCAAGCGUUACUCGGAAUUACUGGGCGUAAAGCGUGCGUAGGUGGUUGGUUAAGUCUGUCGUGAAAGCCCUGGGCUCAACCUGGGAACUGCGAUGGAAACUGGUCAACUAGAGUGUGGUAGAGGGUAGCGGAAUUCCUGGUGUAGCAGUGAAAUGCGUAGAUAUCAGGAGGAACAUCCAUGGCGAAGGCAGCUACCUGGGCCAACACUGACACUGAGGCACGAAAGCGUGGGGAGCAAACCAGGAUUAGAUACCCUGGUAGUCCACGCCCUAAACGAUGCGA
rnacentral:rRNA from 1 species